rnacentral:rRNA from 1 species
GAUGAACGCUAGCGGCAGGCCUAACACAUGCAAGUCGAGGGAGGAGCCUUCGGGCUUCGACCGGCGUACGGGUGCGUAACGCGUAUACAAUCUGCCUUUCACAUAGGGAUAGCCCGAAGAAAUUUGGAUUAAUACCUAAUGGUAUAUAGAUGUGGCAUCACCUUUAAAUUAAAGCUGAGGCGGUGAAAGAUGAGUAUGCGUUCUAUUAGCUAGUUGGAGAGGUAACGGCUCCCCAAGGCGACGAUAGAUAGGGGUUCUGAGAGGGAUAUCCCCCACACUGGUACUGAGAUACGGACCAGACUCCUACGGGAGGCAGCAGUGAGGAAUAUUGGACAAUGGUCGGAAGACUGAUCCAGCCAUGCCGCGUGCAGGAAGACGGCCUUAUGGGUUGUAAACUGCUUUUGCAGGGGAAGAAUAAGGACUACGCGUAGUUUGAUGACGGUACUCUGCGAAUAAGCAUCGGCUAACUCCGUG